rnacentral:rRNA from 1 species
UCCGUAGGUGAACCUGCGGAGGGAUCAUUACAAGUGACCCCGGUCUAACCACCGGGAUGUUCAUAACCCUUUGUUGUCCGACUCUGUUGCCUCCGGGGCGACCCUGCCUUCGGGCGGGGGCUCCGGGUGGACACUUCAAACUCUUGCGUAACUUUGCAGUCUGAGUAAACUUAAUUAAUAAAUUAAAACUUUUAACAACGGAUCUCUUGGUUCUGGCAUCUAUGAAGAACGCAGCGAAAUGCGAUAAGUAAUGUGAAUUGCAGAAUUCAGUGAAUCAUCGAAUCUUUGAACGCACAUUGCGCCCCCUGGUAUUCCGGGGGGCAUGCCUGUUCGAGCGUCAUUUCACCACUCAAGCCUCGCUUGGUAUUGGGCAACGCGGUCCGCCGCGUGCCUCAAAUCGACCGGCUGGGUCUUCUGUCCCCUAAGCGUUGUGGUAACUAUUCGCUAAAGGGUGUUCGGGAGGCUACGCCGUAAAACAACCCCAUUUCUAAGGUUGACCUCGGAUCAGGUAGGGAUACCCGCUGAACUUAAGCAUAUCAAUAAGCGGAGGA